GACGUAGGGCGCGAGCGUUGUCCGGAUUUAUUGGGCGUAAAGAGCUCGUAGGCGGCUCGUUGCGUCAACCGUGAAAACCCGGGGCUUAACUUCGGGCUUGCGGUUGAUACGGGCGGGCUGGAGUUCGGUAGGGGAGACUGGAAUUCCUGGUGUAGCGGUGAAAUGCGCAGAUAUCAGGAGGAACACCGGUGGCGAAGGCGGGUCUCUGGGCCGAUACUGACGCUGAGGAGCGAAGCGUGGGGAGCGAACAGGA
rnacentral:rRNA from 1 species